UGGGGAAUAUUGCGCAAUGGGCGAAAGCCUGACGCAGCAACGCCGCGUGAAGGAUGAAGUAUUUCGGUAUGUAAACUUCGAAAGAAUAGGAAGAAUAAAUGACGGUACUAUUUAUAAGGUCCGGCUAACUACGUGCCAGCAGCCGCGGUAAUACGUAGGGACCAAGCGUUGUUCGGAUUUACUGGGCGUAAAGGGCGCGUAGGCGGCAAUUCAAGUCAUCUGUGAAAUCUCCGGGCUUAACUCGGAACGGUCAGAUGAUACUGCUUUGCUAGAGUGCAGAAGGGGCAAUCGGAAUUCUUGGUGUAGCGGUGAAAUGCGUAGAUAUCAAGAGGAACACCUGAGGUGAAGACGGGUUGCUGGGCUGACACUGACGCUGAAGCGCGAAAGCAAGGGGAGCAAACAGGAUUAGAUACCCCAGUAGUCCCUGAGCGGGCUGGCAAGGCGCAU
rnacentral:rRNA from 1 species